GCCUAAAUGGUGGAAUGGUAGACACAAAGCACUUAAAAUGCUUUAAGCAAUAGCUUGUCUGGGUUCGAGUCCCAGUUUAGGUA
rnacentral:tRNA from 1 species